AAGAAAGAAGAGUUAUGAAGAGACCCAGAGACCUGCAGACCAAGUCAUCCACCAUCAUGGUGCGAAUAUCGACUAAUCCUGUCUGGGAGGUGGUCACAGCCCCGCCCCCUGUAUGACAUCACUAUUGAUGACAGUUGCGCCACCUAUCUGCCAUAAUUACCAAUACUCUAUAUUUCUUACCGUGUAGCCACUGGAAUCCCAGGUCUCAUCACAUCUCGCACCAUCGCGCCUCCGCCCGCCAGCACUGGCACACACCCGCAAAAUCUUUAUUUUAUUUUUUGGCUGCUAAAUUUUUACAAGUUCUGUCAUGAAAUUCUCACUCUGUGCAGCGAGGACUCCAGUAAGAAAAACACAGAGACUGAUUUAUGGGAUCCAGCAGAGACUACUCCACACUUAGUCCAGACUUCCUUACACUCCAAGAGGGACUAAUAAAACCAUGAGAAGAGGACUGCGGCUACCCCGCCAUAAAUUACCGAUCUACAGCAUGAAUGAUGUCAUGUCAUCACCGCAAACAUCCCAUGUCAUGGCAAAUUACAAGGGAAGGUGACGGAAGCCUAAUAGGAAUCUCUACUCCCGGGAGGUCUCGCCUCACCGCAGACGCGUAAACAUUACGAGAAAAGAAGUUAAACAUGGAGGACGCGUCGCAAAGGUAGCCCCUUAUAAUUCAUCGGAUGGAAGAGACCUUUUCUAAAUCUAAAUAGACGGCCGGCGCCUGACAGGUAAUACUCCGCUAUAAAAUGCUAUAAAAGGAAUUCUUAAAGGGCCAGUGCGUUCCUAGACUUUGAAGACGAUAGUGGUGCAGAGUGACAGUUGAGCAGUUGCCCAUAGCAACCAAUCAAAUUCAAAUCUUAUAACGGCCUCUGGAAGCUGAAAUCUGGCUGGUUGUCGUGGGCAACUGCUCUACUGACCCGGAUCAAUGCU